rnacentral:rRNA from 1 species
GAUGAACGCUGGCGGCGUGCUUAACACAUGCAAGUCGAACGGGAAUUACUUUAUUGAAACUUCGGUCGAUUUAAUUUAAUUCUAGUGGCGGACGGGUGAGUAACGCGUGGGUAACCUGCCUUAUACAGGGGGAUAACAGUCAGAAAUGGCUGCUAAUACCGCAUAAGCGCACAGAGCUGCAUGGCUCAGUGUGAAAAACUCCGGUGGUAUAAGAUGGACCCGCGUUGGAUUAGCUGGUUGGUGGGGUAACGGCCCACGAAGGCGACGAUCCAUAGCCGGCCUGAGAGGGUGAAAGGCCACAUUGGGACUGAGACACGGCCCAGACUCCUACGGGAGGCAGCAGUGGGGGAUAUUGCACAAUGGGGGAAACCCUGAUGCAGCGACGCCGCGUGAAGGAAGAAGUAUCUCGGUAUGUAAACUUCUAUCAGCAGGGAAGAUAGUGACGGUACCUGACUAAGAAGCCCCGGCUAACUACGUGCCAGCCGCCGCGGUAA